UCGGACCUAAGAACAUAAGAAGAACUUGCUGGAUGAGGAUGCCACAUGUCCAUCUAGUCCAGCACCCCACUCUCCCAGUGGCCAAGCAAGAUGCCUGAGGCCCAUGAAUAGGACCUGAGCCUAACCUACUGUGUGAAGGAAUGAAGGCAUCGAUUGGCAGAGUGAGGUUGGUGGGGCAGGGCACCACUUGUCCUAGCAGACUCGCCUCCACUGCCUCUAGGGACUCAAGGUGGUUUACAGAUAAAAAUAUGAAAAGGCUUUAAACAUAGAAAAAG